AAAAUUCCAAGCGGAGAGUUUGGAUUUGAAAUAAUUCAAAUAUAUAGGGGCAAUAUUGCAAUCAGUGAGCAUUUUGAAAAAGAAAUAGAACCAAAUACGCUUUGUACGCCGAAAAAGACCGUUUCCUCUUUCUCUACCAAGGGAGAGAGAGAGAGAGAAAGAGAUUGAGAGAAUGACUGAAAUUUCAAGAAGUAGAUCGCUCCGUUUUUUACUGUUUUACGCUUCCGUUUCUCUACAAUUCAUUUCAGGUUUCCUUUCUAGAUCUCUUUAUGCUCGAUAUAUAUUUUUUUGUAAUAUUUUAUAUUUUUAAUUGAAAUAUUAAAAUAUUUUGGUCCAAAUUCGAAUCAUUAAUUUGCAUGAAAAUCAAGUUUAUUUGUAUUAUUAAUUUGUAGAGUUUAUUUGUUCAUCGAGAUCGGACAAUUUUAUGUAUUGAUCUCAUUCGAAUCUCACCUUUAGUUUUAUUUGAUUAAUUCGCGGAAUCUCUCAAAUUUAUCAUUUUUUUUUUGCAAUACUUAAUAUUCUCUGUUUGACUACUUAGAAAAUUAGCAUCGAAUGAACAUGAAAAUAAAUCAUUUUGUUAUAGAUUUAUAUAUAUAUAUAUAUAUAAAUUAAAUUCUAUAACUUUAGUUGUUUUUCUUUUCUGAAAUUGCCACAACGAGAAAUUUUAGCUAUAAAGUUAGAUUUUUUUACUUUGAAGAAUGAAUAGGAAGGUAUAUAUAAUAUCUGUGAUUUCAAAUUGCUUUUAUGAAUCUCAAACUUUGUGAUAAAUCUGCUAUUUAGCAGUAUAACUAAGCAAUUAGGAUUUGUGUAGCAUGAUCAAACUUAAAUUGUGCUUCAAACUCAACUUACUUUAUCUGAUUUCCAUGAAAUUUUGGGAAACUAUGAUGAUUGAUUAAAUGGAAUCCACAUGAAACUUUGGUUUCAUCGAUAGCUGAUCUCGAGCCAUGUAGUUUUGUUAAAUACAUAUGGUUCUGUAUUCCUUACUAACGGGGUGCUCUCUUUUUAGCCAUAGUUAAAACAUGUUUGCAGCUGAAUUUGGUUGGAACACUGAUUAAGUUGCUGUAACGGACUUUAAAGUAGAGAUUGUUCUUAUCCUGCUUAGCAAAUUGUUAAAAGUUUCAAACAAUUUGCUCUAAUUUUUCUCUUUUUACAGGUUUUUCUGAUGACUCUACAAGUUCGAAAAACAGCUCAAAGACCAAGUCGAAUGGAAAUAGUAAUAUUGGGGCCAAGGUAGGCAUCAUAUUGCUUGGGCUUGUUGCAGUAGGGUUGUUUUCAUUUUUCCUUUUCAAGUUGUGGCAAAAAAAGAAACGAGAUGAACAAUAUGCCCGUCUCUUGAAGUUGUUUGAAGAAGAUGAUGAGCUCGAGGUUGAACUUGGCCUUCGGGACUGACAGCAUCAUUAAGAACUGAGCUCAUCCUAUCUGAGGUGCAUACAUAAAAUGUCCUUGUGAUCUUCAAUUUCCAAGAUUCAGUUACAUCCCUUGUUUUGCUUUUAAGGAGGAAAUAACAUUUCAUUAUCCAUGUUUGUAUUCUAGUAGUUGAACACCAUGUAAUGGUUGAAUGUAAAUGAUGAACAUUGUAAUCAUUUUCACUGAUCUUGAACUUUCAGCUUCAGUAUGUCGGGCACUCCCCAUGCAUGUUAAAGUUUGACACUCAAGUCUAUACCCAUUUGCAUCUGUGACAAUUUGUCAGCCGUUCACGUAUCCAUGUAUAAGUUAUGCAUUGAUUGUUGUUAUCUGGUUUUACUUUUUUCCCCCAUUUAUGUUUUUCCAUUUAGCUGUUGACACUGAGUUUCUUGCUCUUCAUUUGCAGGGUGAAAUGGCAUCAACGUCUUAUGUUGUUUAGGAAAGUCAUAUUUCUGAUGGUCCAAAUCAGGAUUUAGGCAUAUCCUGUGGUAAGGUCAGAUAAUUUUUCAACCAUGAGUUGUAGUAUUUGUAAUGAUAUGUUCAAACUUAUUAUGAAUCUAAGUUUUGAGCC
rnacentral:lncRNA from 1 species